ACAAGUUUAACGGCCGCGGUAUUUUGACCGUGCAAAGGUAGCGCAAUCACUUGUCUUUUAAAUAGAGACCCGUAUGAAUGGCCAAACGAGGGCUUAACUGUCUCCCUUUUCAAGUCAGUGAAAUUGAUCUACCCGUGCAGAAGCGGGUAUAACAAUACAAGACGAGAAGACCCUUUGGAGCUUAAGGUACAAAACUCAACCACACCAAGCAACUUAAUAAAAAGUAAAAACUUUGUGAAACAUGAGGUUUUACCUUCGGUUGGGGCGACCGCGGAGGAAAAUAAAGCCUCCAAGUGGACCGGGACAAACUCCUAAAACCAAGAGAAACAUCUCUAAGCCACAGAACAUCUGACCAAACAUGAUCCGGCCACCAGGACCGAUCAACGAACCAAGUUACCCUAGGGAUAACAGCGCAAUCCUCUCCCAGAGUCCAUAUCGACGAGGGGGUUUACGACCUCGAUGUUGGAUCAGGACAUCCUAAUGGUGCAGCCGCUAUUAAGGGUUCGUUUGUUCAACGAUUAAAGUCCUACGUGAUC
rnacentral:rRNA from 2 species